rnacentral:rRNA from 1 species
GAUGAACGCUAGCGAUAGGCUUAACACAUGCAAGUCGAGGGGCAGCACAAGGUAGCUUGCUAUCUGGGUGGCGACCGGCGCACGGGUUCGUAACGCGUAUGCAACUUGCCCUAUACAGGAGGAUAACCCGUCGAAAGACGCACUAAUACUGCGUAUGCUCACAACUUGGCAUCAAGUGGUGAGGAAAGAAAUUCGGUAUUGGAUAGGCAUGCGUCCCAUUAGGUUGUUGGUGAGGUAACGGCUCACCAAGGCAACGAUGGGUAGGGGAACUGAGAGGUUUAUCCCCCACACUGGAACUGGGACACGGACCAGACUCCUGCGGGAGGCAGCAGUGAGGAAUAUUAGUCAAUGGGCGCGAGCCUGAACCAGCCAAGUCGCGUGAAGGAUGACUGUCUUAUGGAUUGUAAACUUCUUUUAUACGGGAAUAACAAGAGUCACGUGUGACUCCCUGCAGGUACCGUAUGAAUAAGCAUCGGCUAACUCCGUG